AGCAGCCGCGGUAAUUCCAGCUCCAAUAGCGUAUAUUAAAGUUGUUGCAGUUAAAAAGCUCGUAGUUGAAUUUCGGGGUUCAUACGUUGGUCGGGCUCUUUGGUCUGUACUAGCGUAAUGGAUUCCUACCUUCUGAAUAACCGGCAUGCCAUUAAUUUGGUGCGCCGGGGAAGCAGGACUGUUACCUUGAAAAAUUAGAGUGCUUAAAGCAGGCUAUCGCCUAAAUACAUUAGCAUGGAAUAAUGAAAUAGGACGGCAUGGUUCUAUUUUGUUGGUUUCUAGGAUCACCGUAAUGAUUAAUAGGGAUAGUUGGGGCAUUAGUAUUCAAUUGUCAGAGGUGAAAUUCUUGGAUUUAUUGAAGACUAACUUCUGCGAAAGCAUUUGCCAAGGAUGUUUUCAUUAAU
rnacentral:rRNA from 1 species